rnacentral:rRNA from 1 species
GACGAACGCUGGCGGCGUGCUUAACACAUGCAAGUCGAACGGAAAGGUCCUGCUUUUGUGCGGUGCUCGGGUGGCGAACGGGUGAGUAACACGUGUCUACCCUGCCCUCGACUUUGGGAUAACUUCAGGAAACUGGGGCUCAUACCGGAUAGGAGCUCCCGCUGCAUGGUGGGGGUUGGAAAGUUUCGGCGGUUGGGGAUGGACUCGCGGCUUAUCCGCUCGUUGGUGGGGUAGUGUCUUAGCAAGGCUAUGACGGGUAGCCGGCCUGAGAGGGUGACCGGCCACAAUGGGACUGAGAUACGGCCCAGACUCGUACGGGAGGCAAGGGUGGGGAGUAGUAUCCAAGGGGCGGAAGCCUGAUGCAGCAACGCCGCGUGCGGGAAGACGGGCAUGGGGUAGGGAAGCGCUUUCGCCUGAGACGGAGCGUGAGUGACGGUAAUGGGUAAAGAAGCACCGGCUAACUACGUG